GAGGAAUAUUGGUCAAUGGACGAGAGUCUGAACCAGCCAAGUAGCGUGAAGGAUGACUGCCCUAUGGGUUGUAAACUUCUUUUAUAUGGGAAUAAAGUGAGCCACGUGUGGCUUUUUGUAUGUACCAUACGAAUAAGGAUCGGCUAACUCCGUGCCAGCAGCCGCGGUAAUACGGAGGAUCCGAGCGUUAUCCGGAUUUAUUGGGUUUAAAGGGAGCGUAGGCGGACUAUUAAGUCAGCUGUGAAAGUUUGCGGCUCAACCGUAAAAUUGCAGUUGAUACUGGUCGUCUUGAGUGCAGUAGAGGUAGGCGGAAUUCGUGGUGUAGCGGUGAAAUGCUUAGAUAUCACGAAGAACUCCGAUUGCGAAGGCAGCUUACUGGACUGUAACUGACGCUGAUGCUCGAAAGUGUGGGUAUCAAACA
rnacentral:rRNA from 1 species